UCUUUCUUUCUCCUUCUUCUUUCUCUCUUUCUUUUCUUCUUCUUCUUCUUCUUUCUCUCCGCCAGAUUCCUUAUAGCAAACACAGCCAAAUUUCUCUCUGCUCCCUAAACCACAAAAGUUACGAACUUUAUCUUCUCUAGUUGAGUUUUUGAAUUGGGUGAUUUCUUUUUCUGCGUAGGGUGGGAAUGUGCUUUUGUCUGAAAUGUUGGGUACAUUUGCUCUAUCUGUUGGUGCUGCUGUGGGAAUGAAGUUUUGGGCAAGAUGGGCUCAUAAAGCUCUCUGGCACGCUUCUUUAUGGCAUAUGCACGAGUCUCACCACCGACCCAGAAAAGGUCCAUUCGAGCUUAACGAUGGACUGAAACAGAGAGAGAAGAGAUAAGGAAUCUGGCAGAGAGAAAGAAGAAGAAGAAAAGAAAGAGA